rnacentral:rRNA from 1 species
UACGUAGGGGGCUAGCGUUGUCCGGAUUUAUUGGGCGUAAAGAGCGUGUAGGCGGCCAGGUAGGUCUGCUGUGAAAACUCGAGGCUCAACCUCGAGACGUCGGCGGAAACCGUCUGGCUAGAGUCCGGAAGAGGAGAGUGGAAUUCCCGGUGUAGCGGUGAAAUGCGUAGAUAUCUGGAGGAACACCGGUGGCGAAGGCGGCAUCCUGGACCAACACUGACGCUGAUGAGCGAAAGCCAGGGGAGCAAACGGG